AUAUUUAUGUAUACUUGUGUGUGUAUGCAUAUGUGUGUGAUACAAAUAUAAAAGAUUAUGUUAUAUAUCAUUUAUAUAUGCUGC
rnacentral:miRNA from 1 species